rnacentral:misc_RNA from 1 species
GUUACUCUGCAACUCUUUCAGGUCAAUUUCUCUCUUCCUAGAUGUCUUUUUCUCUUCUUGCUCUAUUUGAAACCUUUUUUUCUUGAUCUAAGAGUUGCUUUGCUGCUCAACUUUUUUUGUCUGUCAGUGGCACAUUUCAUUUGUUAUGGCAUUUAGUUGUUUUUUAUUCUCAGCAUUUUCUGGUAAUUGUUGUUGGGUUGGCUUUAGUAAUCUAGAUUAUUCCUUGGGGGAACUUAUUCUGAGCUCUAUCGCUAAGUUUCUAAAGCAUUUGGAUGUUACCAUUGCAAGUCUUUCAUUUAUAAUGAUUCUUCAAUUUUACUCAAUUUUCAUGAAGGCCAUUUCCCUUCUGUGUGGUUUUCUAUGUAGUUAUGACAUAUGAAUAUUAGUUUAUUCUAGUGUGUUAUAUGUGUGCUAAAUAUUGAUGGGUACCUUUUGAUGGUUUGGUUUUUG